UAGCCGUGAUGAAACUUCAGUUCUGUGUACCAAAGACUCUCUUCGGAGUUGGUCUGUGACGGCAACACAACCCUCUAAGAAGUUCUGAGCAU
rnacentral:snoRNA from 1 species